AAAGUCGUAACAAGGUUUCCGAAGAUGAACCUGCGGAAGGAUCAUUAUGAAAUAAUCCAACGGCCGAACGCUUGCGAGGCCUGCGGAUUACACCACUGACCCUUCCCUCCCUCCCCCUCCAGGGCGGUAGGUGAGGACGAGGUUACUGUAUCCACCCUUUGUGAAACUCUGAAAUUUGCUUCGGCAGUGCCUCGACAGAGAGAUCCGGCGAGGGUAAGGCUGCCAGAAGCCCCUUCAGAAACUAGUUGAUGAAAUGUCAUACAGUCUUAGAAACCUUUAUUUGAGAAAUCAAAUACAUUAACACUUUCAGCAACGGAUCUCUUGGUUCCC
rnacentral:misc_RNA from 1 species